AAAGGGAGACCUAAUUCGGGUAGGAGACGAAAAAAAAGUAGUCGCUACCAAGAAUCAAUCCCAAAAGGUCGGAGCGAGGCGAAAUUGGCUUUCAAACUAGGUUCUGGGUUCACACAAGACCUGAAUCAGGAACAAGGGCUAUUAGCUCAGGUGGUUAGAGCGCACCCCUGAUAAGGGUGAGGUCCCUGGUUCGAGUCCAGGAUGGCCCACCUGCACAGGUGGCAAAAACAAGAGAAGCGAGGAAUCAGCACCUUAUCUUAUCUAUAUAUAAGAGAGAAUGCUGGCUCUGAGUUCAGAGUCCAGAGGAACCUUGAAAACUGCAUAGAGCUAGGUGAAAAAGCCAAAAAAGAAGACCGCAAG
rnacentral:tRNA from 1 species